GGCGCACGGGUGCGUAACGCGUAUACAAUCUGCCUUAUACUGGGGUAUAGCCUUUAGAAAUGAAGAUUAAUCCCCCAUAGCCUCUUUUAAUGGCAUCAUUAUAAGAGUAAAGGUUACGGUAUAAGAUGAGUAUGCGUUCUAUUAGUUUGUUGGUGAGGUAACGGCUCACCAAGACUGCGAUAGAUAGGGGCCCUGAGAGGGGGAUCCCCCACACUGGUACUGAGACACGGACCAGACUCCUACGGGAGGCAGCAGUGAGGAAUAUUGGACAAUGGAGGCAACUCUGAUCCAGCCAUGCCGCGUGCAGGAAGACUGCCCUAUGGGUUGUAAACUGCUUUUGUACAGGAAGAAACCUUGGUACGUGUACCAAGCUGACGGUACUGUAAGAAUAAGGAUCGGCUAACUCCGUGCCAGCAGCCGCGGUAAUACGGAGGAUCCAAGCGUUAUCCGGAAUCAUUGGGUUUAAAGGGUCCGUAGGUGGAUAAUUAAGUCAGAGGUGAAAUCUUGCAGCUCAACUGUAAAAUUGCCUUUGAUACUGGUUAUCUUGAGUCAUUAUGAAGUAGUUAGAAUAUGUAGUGUAGCGGUGAAAUGCAUAGAUAUUACAUAGAAUACCAAUUGCGAAGGCAGAUUACUAAUAAUGUACUGACACUGAUGGACGAAAGCGUGGGUAGCGAACAGGAUUAGAUACCCUGGUAGUCCACGCCGUAAACGAUGGUUACUAGCUGUGUGGACUUCGGUCUGCGUGGCUAAGCGAAAGUGAUAAGUAACCCACCUGGGGAGUACGUUCGCAAGAAUGAAACUCAAAGGAAUUGACGGGGGCCCGCACAAGCGGUGGAGCAUGUGGUUUAAUUCGAUGAUACGCGAGGAACCUUACCAGGGCUUAAAUGUAAGUUGUAUUAGCUAGAGAUAGCUAUUUCUUCGGACUACUUACAAGGUGCUGCAUGGUUGUCGUCAGCUCGUGCCGUGAGGUGUCAGGUUAAGUCCUAUAACGAGCGCAACCCCUGUUGUUAGUUGCCAGCGAGUCAUGUCGGGAACUCUAACAAGACUGCCGGUGCAAACCGCGAGGAAGGUGGGGAUGACGUCAAAUCAUCACGGCCCUUACGUCCUGGGCUACACACGUGCUACAAUGGUCGGUACAGAGAGCAGCCACUGCGCGAGCAGGAGCGAAUCUAUAAAACCGAUCACAGUUCGGAUCGGAGUCUGCAACUCGACUCCGUGAAGCUGGAAUCGCUAGUAAUCGGAUAUCAGCCAUGAUCCGGUGAAUACGUUCCCGGGCCUUGUACACACCGCCCGUCAAGCCAUGGAAGCUGGGAGUGCCUGAA
rnacentral:rRNA from 1 species